AUGACUCCCGCAACUGUUCCUCUCCCGAAACCCACCAGAGGCGAUUUCCCCUCCUCCUUUGAGAAUCGCCGAUGGAUAAUCCCUGAAACCCGAAGCCCCACGAAAUCCAAUCCCGAGUUCCUCCUCUACAAUCCUACCCAACAAUCUUUAGCCAGUAUAAAAGACCACCUCCGUUUCACCACAAGUGCCAUCAAAAACCUGAAGCUCCGCGUCGCAUCCUUGAGAGUUCAAUUGGAGAGGUCCGAUGCCAAAUCCCGUAUAGGCCGUCUCUCUAAUGAUGAGUGGAAGGAGCUGCCGGACCCAGGACAUUCACAAUCAACGGAGCCAGGUACUAAUUCGUCCAUUAAGGGACAUGAAGAACAUGACGAUUCACGGGUGUCGUUUCGUCCCGAGGAGAAGGAAACGCCAUCAUUUACAAGGAGUAAAUCAGAGAAUAAAGCAGGUAUUAACAAGGUCUUGGAGGAAUUUCUAUUUAGAGGGAGCCUUCUACUGCAGAAUCCAUCCCAAGCUCCGCACAUCCAGUAUCGGUCUCUUCCCGUGCUCACAAGGUGUUUGGGUUUUUGCCUGAGUGCAACGAUGGAGGCGAAGAAGAGCUUCCAGGAGGCGACUGGUCCUGGUGCUGCCAGGGAGCUGGCGGCUGUUCCUUCAGCUGGGAACUCGGGCAUCUUCUUCUCCACCUCUCAGCGGCCAGGGAAGGAGGUUGCCAAGGCUUGUUCGGGGCCUGAGAAGAAGACUCUCAUCGUCAACAUGUCCGGGGCUCAAAAUGCGGUGCAGACGCGUUUCCUGGCGGUCGGGCUGUUCCUGUCCGUUCUAUUGGUGAACUCCAGGCAACUGAUCGACCACAUGAAGAAGGUUUGGAAGAUUCGUGGCGAACUGGGUGAUCAUGAGCUGGCUACAGAUGAAGGGCGCAAAUUCGUCCUCGAGUUCUCGGAGGAUGGUGACCGGCAACACGUCAUCAAGGGUGGUCCAUGGCAGUACAAGGGCGAUGCGUUCCUGGUCGGGCCUGGAGAAAGAGGUUGA
rnacentral:rRNA from 1 species